UACGUAUGGUGCAAGCGUUAUCCGGAUUUACUGGGUGUAAAGGGAGCGUAGGCGGCGCGUUAAGUCUGAUGUGAAAACCCGAGGCUCAACCACGGGAGUGCAUUGGAAACUGGUAGACUUGAGUGCAGGAGAGGAGAGUGGAAUUCCAUGUGUAGCGGUGAAAUGCGUAGAUAUAUGGAGGAACACCGGUGGCGAAAGCGGCUCUCUGGCCUGUAACUGACACUGAGGCUCGAAAGCGUGGGGAGCAAACAGG
rnacentral:rRNA from 1 species